rnacentral:rRNA from 1 species
AUGGCCAGGGACUUCAAUGAAAUUCUGCAUGCACACGAAAAAGAAGGGGGUGUAGCCCGAUCACAAUGGUGCAUGCAAGCUUUUAGUGACACCCUACGUGACUGUAACCUUGAUGAUUUGGGUUACUCAGGAGACAUAUUCAGUUGGCGCAGAGGUCGUAUUCGUGAGAGGCUGGAUAGGGCAGUGGGAAAUAGCUCUUGGGCCGACCUUUUCCCUUGCUUUGGAGUCUCAAAUGAACCGUUCAAUAAAUCUGAUCAUCGCCCUAUACUG